rnacentral:rRNA from 1 species
AUACUAAUAGCUCGAUUGAUUUACUUUGCUGUGAG